GAUACACAAUAUUUCACGGCACCUCCUUCCACAAAGAUAUGAUCUUAUUAACGCACCAACGUUCAACAAGUUUUUUUUUAUAUAUAAACACGAAUCGAUUAAAUAAUAAUAAUUCAAUUGAUACGGAUAACGAGUUCGGCAUUUACAGAGACGAUCGUAAUAAUAAUUAUUACUAUCAUCAUAAUAAUUAAUGAACAGUUUUGCGGGUAACACGCGCACCUUUACAAGGGUAUUGUAAUGUAUUUAAAAAUCAGAUUAUUGACUAUACGUUGUUCUUACACCGUCGAAUCGGAUUACCCACAAAUCGAUGAUCAGAGCAAACAGAGAAAGAGAAAGAGACAGUGAGAGAGUAUGUACUGUGCAUUAAAAACACUACACUGCGCGGUGAAUAUAAUACCGGGACAACGAGCGGAGAGGGCAACGAACCUAUCUUUACGGCGACGACGACGACGACGACUCGUCCACAGUUUUCAUUGUUCAUUCAUCCGACAAAAUCCACAUGUUUUAUUAUACAUUAUAUACACAUUAUAUAUGUAUAUUAUAAAGAAAAUAACGUAGUUACAGAGCAUUGCCGUACUGAGUAACAUAAAUGUGUAUCGGACACAAUCUAAGAAAGGUUGAUCCUAUAUUUUUGGACAUCAGCAUAUCGUUGGUUAUAUUAUACUUGUACUAUACACAAAAUCACAUUUUUCGUUUUGGUAAUCCAAAAUAUACAGACAGUUGUUAAUUAUUUAACAGUGAAAUACUUCAAAUACUCAUUGGUCAUGGUUACGUACAUUGGAUCAAAAUAUUAGUAUUAAACGUAUGAUAGUUCGACUAUCCGAUCGUUA